rnacentral:rRNA from 1 species
GAUGAACGCUGGCGGCGUGCAUAACACAUUCAAGUCGAACGGUGAGGGGGCUUCGGCCCCUGAUCAGUGGCGGACGGGUGAGUAACGCGUGAGCAACCUGCCCUUGUGUGGGGGAUAACGUCUGGAAACGGACGCUAAUACCGCAUAACCCAAUAGUACGGCAUCGUACAGUUGGCAAAGAUUUAUUGCACAAGGAUGGGCUCGCGUCUGAUUAGAUAGUUGGUGGGGUAACGGCCUACCAAGUCGACGAUCAGUAGCCGGACUGAGAGGUUGAACGGCCACAUUGGAACUGAGAUACGGUCCAGACUCCUACGGGAGGCAGCAGUGGGGAAUAUUGGGCAAUGGGGGAAACCCUGACCCAGCGACGCCGCGUGAGGGAAGAAGGUCUUCGGAUUGUAAACCUUAAACAACAGGGACGAAGAAAGUGACGGUACCUGUUAGGAAGCCACGGCUAACUACGUG